GAACUCGUGAAUGUUGUGUAUAUUAGUCUGUGCCUAGAAAACUCUCAGCGUGAUGAAAUGCUACCGUACUAUACUAUGAGGAGCAAACCUUCCCAGAAGCGAAGACUAAAGGGAGCAUUUAUUUAAAGUCUUUGAAAAUUUGUUACCUGUAUCAUCCAACUGAAAGUCUUGCCCAGUGAACUCUCCGCCUGGUACCGGACAUGGUUGCUCUUCACUUACUGGUCAUGUAUGGUUAGGCUGAUGCAACCUUAAACCAGAGUGUCCGUUCUCAACCUGUAGCUUGCGACCUCAUCGGCAAACCACUACCUGCAAUAACAUUUACAUUAUGAUUCAUAUCAGUAGCAAAAUCACAGCUAUGAAGUAGCAACAAAAAUAA
rnacentral:lncRNA from 1 species